UGAAGUUGGCCUUUUCUGUAAGCGGAGCCGCUCGGGGAUAAACAGGGCGGCUCGCUGGUCGGAACUGCCUAUUCUGGGAGGAGGAAGAUGAUUUUUUCCUUGGGACCAGGCCAGGGGAGGUUGGGGGGGGGGGCUGGGAGCAUCCUCUGGGCCCCAUCGUGAUGGGGGGAGCGCUGAGCACCACGCUGAGCGCGGCGGCUUCUGGGCUCUGCUCCCCUGGAGAUGCUCUCGAUCCGCUGGGAGCUUUGUGGGGUCAGGGGGGGACCCCUGGAAACCCCCCCCCCGAGGAACACAAGGGUGGCGGGGAGGAGGAUAAGGGAAGGAUUGGGAUUAGGGGAGGGGAGACACAGGAGGCCCUGAUUUCUGGCAGCUCCUAAUGAGCACCCCCAGCUGCCCCCGAGCAAGGAGCGGUCGGAGCCCCGGUCCCAGCUGAGCCCGGGCUGGGGAGGGACCACCACCCCUUUGGCCAGGGCGAGGGUAAGCCCUAUAUAAGAGCUGGGCUGAGCACGCAGGCCCUGCAGUGCAGCUGGCAGAGGCAGCGGUUUGUGCAGAAAUGUUUAUUUAAAAAUAAAUAAGGAAAAAAAAAAAAAGUGCUGGCAGCUCUUCCCGGAGCGGCUCCUCAGCUGUGGCGGUGGCACGCCAAGGUCAGGGUCCCCAGCAGGUGCUGGAGCAGCUCUUCCUGCGGUGCUGGGGGGGCUCAGAGCUAGCAGGAGCCCCCAAAUCUCAGCCUGAGAGGGGUGUGCGAGGAAGAGGCCAAGAGGAUCACCUCCGAGACCCCGCAGUGACCAGAUCCCAAAUCCUCACCUGCGGAGAGGGGAAAUGUCCCCGCUGGCAAAGGCUGCGCUGGUGCCUCCUGGGACCGGGCUCAGGUGGCCCACCCUGAGGAGAUGGAAACCCAAAGGGGCGGCAGGAGGCCUCCGCCCGCGGCCACAUCCCCGACCCAGCUGGACGCGGUGCUGCGCAGCCUGCUCUGCUCUGCUUCCCCGCGCCGAGCCCCUGACGAGGGAGCGAAGCUGGUGCUGGGGAGCAGCCCAAAGCCCCCCCGUGGUUCUGCUGCUGAUCCUCACCUGCUCCCUCCCCGCCGGCCCGGGGUCUUUAUCUGUGCCUGCCUGCCGUGCCAGCUCCCCGCUGUCACACGGGCUGCGGCCGCUGUCCCUGGGCUGGCAGCUCAUUAGGGCCGGGGUGCCGCAGCUGCGCUGACAAAGGGAUGCCGGGGAUUUUCCCCAAAGCCUGGGGGGCUUCAUUUCCAGCAAGCUGUCAGCCUCUCCCCACACACACACACACCCAGCGCUCAUGAAUGUAACCCAGCAGCUCCUCCUGCCUCAGGGUCUGUGUGCUGUGACGGGCUGAAACCAUCCCUCCCUCCAGGUGCGAGGCUCCGGAGCAGGGAACGUCCCCAGAAACCCCAAAUUUUGUGCCCUGGACGGGUCUGUGAGCAUGGCA
rnacentral:lncRNA from 1 species